UCUGCAUCUCGCCCAGAGAAAACAGCCAGAGGGCUCAAGCCACCUCCCCCAGCCCUGGCCCCAGCCCUGCGUGGUCGCUCCUGAGCCAAGGCCUGGAAGAAAAGAAGUGAAGAAGCACUCUUCUCAGCUGUGCUCCCCACCUUCACUGGAGCAUAGUCCCAUGAGGUUAGAGACUUGCUUCCCAAGUAUGUGGAACCUGGCUUGGUGCGAGUCAGUCAAUGACCGCUCUCUGCUAUGGCCUGGGGAAGCAGUAGGAGAUGGCCCAAGUCCUUGGGCUCCUGAGCCCACGUGGGAAGACCCAGAGGAAGCUCCUGGCUCCUGGCUUUGGAUCGGCAAAUUGGGGAAGUGAACCAUCGGAUGGAAGCUCUCUCUCUGUCUCUCUCUCUCUCUCUGCCUCUUCUCUCUCUGUGUAACUCUGACUUUCAAAUAAAUAAAUAAAUCUUUACAAAAAAAAAAAAAAAAAGGACCUAGCCUGCUGUAGCCAGCCAACAGAGGAGAUUUAAGCUGUCAGAGAGCAGGAGGUCAAAGGGGAAGCAGGCACCUCAGGCCUCUCACACACGGUAACACUACAGGUGGAGCGAGGACCUUGCCCUCUCCUCCCCGGCUCCUUCCUGGCCAGAACGGUGCCAGUGCAGAGGAGGUCCCGGUUAAGCAUUUGCAGCCCGAGAACUGAAUCACGCCUCGCUGUGCAGGAUGUCUGCGCCCAGGUUGGCACAUCGCGUCCUGCCCCAGGCCCCUUCGUCACUGAGGUCACACAGGGAGGCAACUUCUCAUGGUCCUUUAGGGACAGGUCAGGCGGGCAGGCCGUGUGAGUCUCCAGAGGCAUAAGCCUAGCUUUGCUGAGCCCUGUAAGGCUUGGCGCUGGGAGCUGAUGACUCGAGAUCCCAGUUAGUCAUCCUGGCAGCUGCUUCCCGCCCCCCUUCCCUGUCGCCU